rnacentral:tRNA from 1 species
CAGAGGGUAGUUAAAUCAGAACAUCGGCUUUGGGAGCCGGCGGUGGGAGUUUGAGCCUCUCCUCUCUGA